rnacentral:rRNA from 1 species
UACGGAGGGGGCUAGCGUUGUUCGGAAUCACUGGGCUUAAAGGGCGCGUAGGCGGCUCAUACAGUCAGGCGUGGAAUUCCUGGGCUCAACCUGGGGGCUGCGCUUGAGACGUGUGGGCUUGAGGACAGGAGAGGCUCGUGGAAUUCCCAGUGUAGAGGUGAAAUUCGUAGAUAUUGGGAAGAACACCGGUGGCGAAGGCGGCGAGCUGGCCUGUAACUGACGCUGAGGCGCGACAGCGUGGGGAGCAAACAGG